rnacentral:lncRNA from 1 species
AUGCUGGGGCAGGCGCCAUGGGCAAGGCUGUCUCCUUCUGGCCCUGCCGUCCUGCUGCUGGCGCUCUCUGCCAGCUUGACCUCCCAGGAUAUCUGCAGCUCCCCAGGGGAUCUCCCGGCUCCUGCUCUCCAACUCAACACAAGUUCUGCUCAGCCAGGUACCACAGCUGUGCUCCAGUGUUUACUCCGUGUGGUGUCACCCGUCAGACGAAUCAUCUUCUGCAAGGAUGGGGUGGAGUUGUACAGCCAGAAAGCCCAGCAAGGGCAGCUGAGCUACUCCAUUGUCCUGAACAUCACGUCAAGAAGCGCAGGAAAAUAUACAUGUGGGUACCAGCUGAGGACUGAGAUGAAACAGAUGAAGAGCUCUGCCCUCAGUGUUGGCCGCAUCCUGGAUGUCCCCGGUGAGACACGGCCCCAGGCUUGAGGGGUCAGAAGGGACGAAGGCACUUGCCACCACAUGGCUGUGCUGAGGCUGGAGCUGUGUGCUGCAGCAGGCAGGGCAUGGCUCUGGG